rnacentral:rRNA from 1 species
ACGCGAAAGUCCCCUUCGGCGGGCAAGUAGAGUGGCGCACGGGUGAGUAACACGUAGGUAAUCUACCUUUGGAUUGGGAAUAACAACCGGAAACGGUUGCUAAUACCGAAUAAUGCAGCGGCACCGAGUGGUGACAGUUGUUAAAGCGGGGGAUCGCAAGACCUCGCGUCUGAAGAGGAGCCUGCGGCAGAUUAGCUAGUUGGUAAGGUAACGGCUUACCAAGGCGAUGAUCUGUAGCCGGCCUGAGAGGGCGGUCGGCCACACUGACACUGACAUACGGGUCAGACUCCUACGGGAGGCAGCAGUCGGGAAUUUUGGGCAAUGGGCGAAAGCCUGACCCAGCAACGCCGCGUGAAGGAUGAAAUCCUUCGGGAUGUAAACUUCGCAAGAACGGGAAGAAUAAGUAAGGGUUAAUAUCUCUUACGAUGACGGUACUGUUUGUAAGCUCCGGCUAACUCCGUGCCAGCAGCCGCGGUAAUACGGGGGGAGCAAGCGUUGUUCGGAUUUACUGGGCGUAAAGGGCGCGU